CUGACAAAUAUCUUUUGAUCAAUAGGAAGAUAAAAGUAAUAUCUCCUCAUUUUCUUAGGGUACCUUACAAAAUUACACUUAUCGGACCUAGGUCCGAGCUUAUCGGUUUGUAAUCCUUUGACAUAAGUCGAACACCUCCAGACCUUAAGGUAAGUGAGGUUCGGCCUAUGUCCUGACCAUAUCUUAUAUGGUGUUUUACUAAUUGACUUG
rnacentral:lncRNA from 1 species